UGACUUUUUAAGCUACUUUCUACAAUUCUACUUCCCUACUGGAACAACUUAUGCUAUUUUCUACUUUGUGUGUUUCAACUAUUUAAACCAGUCUGUUUCUACAAAUCAGAAAAGAAAGCAAAGGAGGAGAGGGAGAAGCAAAUAAGGGCUGCUGAGGAAAGAUUACUGGAGGAUGAUGUCCCUAUAACUGCUGAUGAGUUUGAAAAGAUGAUUAGAAGCUCUCCUAAUAGCAGUUUCACCUGGAUAAAAUAUAUGGAUUUCAUGGUUUCUAUGGCUGCUGUUGAGAAAGCCCGCUCAAUUGCCGAAAGGUGAUCUCUAAUCUGCAACCAAACCAUCUCUAGAGAUGUCAAGUUAGCAUAAGAGUUGAGAAAGAUGUCCCUAGAAAGUUCAGCAUCAAGAGUCAGAGGCUGAUAAUAGGAACCAGGACCCAUAUUUUUCAAAAUUGAUCAACAUUGGACAAUGAUCUGAAACAUAACAACAGAGGCUGUACCAGAUACGGGGUUUCACCAAGGCUGUAACAGAGGCUGUACCUUUGGAAAUUUUGAAGAAGCAGUUGACAAAGAUGCUACAAAGACUGCAGUAACUGAUGGAACUGUCCAUCCUUUGACAAGUUUGUACUACAACUUUGAAAAGGAUCUGCCGGUGUCAUACCUUAAUUUUGUCCGGGGAUUAUUACUUGAUGACAUGCAACCUUUAAUUGGCCGCUUCAAGAUACUUGGUACCCUUUUGUUGCACAAUAUGUAAGUCCCGAGACGCGCCGGAAAUCAAAAGGAAACAGGGUUACGCGAUCCGUCAAAUUCCAUAAUAUGGCGGAAACCAAAAGGAGGUGUUGUUGCGCAAUCUGUGAGUUUUCGUAACUUCUUCGAAAGCUAAAAAA